rnacentral:tRNA from 1 species
GUUUAAAAAAACAUUAUAUUUUCAUUAUAAAAUUAAUAAAAUUUAUUAUUUAUAAAAUUAUU